rnacentral:rRNA from 1 species
CACGUAGGGCGCGAGCGUUGUCCGGAAUUAUUGGGCGUAAAGAGCUCGUAGGCGGCCUGUUGCGUCCGCUGUGAAAGCCCGGGGCUUAACCCCGGGUCGGCAGUGGAUACGGGCAGGCUAGAGGUAGGUAGGGGAGAAUGGAAUUCCUGGUGUAGCGGUGGAAUGCGCAGAUAUCAGGAGGAACACCGAUGGCGAAGGCAGGUCACUGGGCCGCAACUGACGCUGAGGAGCGAAAGCAUGGGGAGCGAACAGG